UCUCACAAUGGAAUCUCAUCAAUGGCUUUCACUAACAAUCAUUUUUCAGAGACAAAUUGCUAACUUGCCUUCGUCGUCCUUGAGAUGAUGAAUUCGUCAUUGCUACCCAUUCUAGACAGGGAUCCUUACACUGUUUUGAUUCUGCUUUAUAUAAGUCUAGAUGAGUUGUUCUGUCUGAGUGUUCCGACUCCAGAUUUGUACACCUGAAUUCCCACGGGUUUAUGAACAAGGCAUUGUGGUUCCCUAGUACAUUAUCGAAAGUUUCCUGGUCUUCUCUUGUUAUCUGAAAGAAAUUGAAAAGAUAUACUUUCUUUUAAUUGUGCUAACAAUAAAUGAUAUGUGUUUGAUUCUUCUAGCUAUGGGCAGUAACUCUGAAUGUUUAUGUAUGUGUGUUUGUGUUUGUGUGCAGAAUUGUCAAAGUCAGUCUGGAGGUUAAACCUCUAGGGCUCUAUCUACUCAGCCCCAAACCAUUCUCAUG
rnacentral:lncRNA from 1 species